rnacentral:rRNA from 1 species
GAUGAACGCUGGCGGCGUGCUUAAUACAUGCAAGUCGAGCGAAGCGGGGACGGGUGAGUAACACGUGGAUAACCUCCUAUAAGGCUGGGAUAACUUAGGGAAACCGGAGCUAAACCGGAUAAUUAUUGAUGGAUCCGCGCUGCAUUAGCUGGUUGGUAAGGUACCGGCGUACCAAGGCAACGAUGCAUAGCCGACCGGAGAGGGUGAUCGGCCACACUGGAACGGAGACAGGGUCCAGACGCCUACGGAAGGCAGCAGUAGGGAAGCUUCCGCAAUGGGCGAAAGCCUGACGGAGCAACGCCGCGUGAGUGAUGAAGGUCUUCGGAUCGUAAAACUCUGUUAUUAGGGAAGCGGUACCUAAUCAGAAAGCCACGGCUAACUACGUGCCAGCAGCCGCGGUAAUUC